rnacentral:rRNA from 1 species
CAAGUCGUACGAGAGGUUUUGACUCAAGUGGCGGACGGGUGAGUAACACGUAAGAAUUUGCCUUUAGGAGGGGGAUAACAAUUGGAAACGAUUGCUAAUACCCCAUAUGCUUUUAAGUGAAAUGGAAUUUCCGCCUAGAGAGAAGCUUGCGGCUGAUUAGCUUGUUGGUAGAGUAAUAGCCUACCAAGGCGACGAUCAGUAUCUGGUUUGAGAGGACGAUCAGACACACUGGAACUGAGACACGGUCCAGACUCCUACGGGAGGCAGCAGUAGGGAAUUUUCCGCAAUGGGCGAAAGCCUGACGGAGCAAUACCGCGUGAGGGAUGACUGCCUAUGGGUUGUAAACCUCUUUUUUCAGGGAGGAAUAUAUGACGUGUACCUGAAGAAUAAGCAUCGGCUAACUCCGUGCCAGCAGCCGCGGUAAGACGGAGGAUGCAAGUGUUAUCCGGAAUCACUGGGCGUAAAGCGUCUGUAGGUGGAUUAAUAAGUCAACUGUUAAAGCUUGGGGCUCAACCUCGAAAUCGCAUUUGAAACUAUUAAACUAGAGUAUAGUAGAGGUAAAGGGAAUUUCCAGUGGAGCGGUGAAAUGCGUAGAGAUUGGAAAGAACACCGAUGGCGAAGGCACUUUACUGGGCUAUUACUGACACUCAGAGACGAAAGCUAGGGUAGCAAAUGGGAUUAGAUACCCCAGUAGUCCUAGCUGUAAACUAUGGAUACUAGGUGUUGAACAGAUCGAUCUGUGCAGUACUAAAGCUAACGCGUUAAGUAUCUCGCCUGGGAAGUAUGCACGCAAGUGUGAAACUCAAAGGAAUUGACGGGGGCCCGCAC